UACAGAGGUCUCAAGCGUUGUUCGGAUUCAUUGGGCGUAAAGGGUGCGUAGGCGGCGCGGUAAGUCGGGUGUGAAAUCUUGGAGCUUAACUCCGAAACUGCAUUCGAUACUGCCGUGCUUGAGGACUGGAGAGGAGACUGGAAUUCUCGGUGUAGCAGUGAAAUGCGUAGAUAUCGAGAGGAACACCAGUGGCGAAGGCGAGUCUCUGGACAUUUCCUGACGCUGAGGCACGAAAGCCAGGGGAGCAAACGGG
rnacentral:rRNA from 1 species